ensembl:lncRNA novel transcript
GGACCAAGCAGGCAGCUUCUUCUACACUCAUGCCAAAUUCCAUGUCAGUAGUGGCAAACCUUUACAGGAUUAUGAAUACAAAAUGCCACUGGUCUCCUGAAGAUACAGCAGCAAAAUGAAACAUCCACAAAUAUGACUUAAAUUGAGAAUAUGUGCAUGUCUAUAACUCCACCCUUCACUGUGCUGCGGUUGUUCUCUGGACCACUCCUAUUUCAUCAGUGUUAUUGUCAACCUGAAGAACAAGCAGAAAGAGGCUCUCUGAAAUGAAAUGGAUGCUUAUUUGGGAAGAGAGCAUUGCAACGGGAAUACACAUGCCAUCGUAAAUGACAAGAAUAUUCAGGGAGGGCUGUCUCUCCCGAUCUGAAACCCCAAUUAUACCUGUGAAGGCAUGGCAUUCUGGAACACCCCAUUUCAAAAGGAGAAAUUAUAUUUGUAAAAAUUUUCAGAACCCCUACAGACCAUAACAAAGAGUAAUGUCUUGAAAACAGGCUGAGUUUAGUUGAUUUGUAAUCAAAGUUUAACCUCUUUUAGGACCCCAUCACAUUUGGCUGCCAUAUCUCCUUGGACUCCUCUUGGCUGUGACAGGGUCUCAGACGGCCCUUGCCGUUGAUGACCUUGAUGGUUUGAAGAGCCCUAAUCAGGGUACACACGCUGCUGACAUGACUCUUCACUGACAGUGGUGGCUGUAGUCGGCUGGCUGAGGUCUCCCCACUGUGAAGUCCCCCUCUCCAUGCUGUACUCUCUGGAAGGACGUCGCCAUGCACAGCCGACACUUAGGGGUAUGGGUUGUGCUCCA